rnacentral:rRNA from 1 species
AGUGAACGCUGGCGGUAGGCCUAACACAUGCAAGUCGAACGGCAGCACAGUAAGAGCUUGCUCUUACGGGUGGCGAGUGGCGGACGGGUGAGGAAUACAUCGGAAUCUACUUUUUCGUGGGGGAUAACGUAGGGAAACUUACGCUAAUACCGCAUACGACCUACGGGUGAAAGCAGGGGAUCUUCGGACCUUGCGCGAUUGAAUGAGCCGAUGUCGGAUUAGCUAGUUGGCGGGGUAAAGGCCCACCAAGGCGACGAUCCGUAGCUGGUCUGAGAGGAUGAUCCGCUACACUGGAACUGAGACACGGUCCAGACUCCUACGGGAGGCAGCAGUGGGGAAUAUUGGACAAUGGGCGCAAGCCUGAUCCAGCCAUACCGCGUGAGUGAAGAAGGCCUUCGGGUUGUAAAGCCCUUUUGUUGGGAAAGAAAAGCAGCAGGUUAAUACCCCGCUGUUCUGACGGUACCCAAAGAAUAAGCACCGGCUAACUUCGUG